AUGGCGAUAGCAUAAGAUGUAUUGUGCUUUCUUUCCAAGUAAGUGGUCUCUUUAGAGAGUUGUCAUA
rnacentral:tRNA from 1 species